AUGUCAAAAUAUAUAAAAUAUAUAUAUAUGCAAAAUAUAUACAGUAUUAUUGGAAAGGAAUAUGUAAAAAAUACAAAGAUACGCGUAAAUAUAUCUAUCAUAGUUCGUCUGCUGAAUUACAAGAUAGACGAAUACAUUUCGCCACUGCAAAACAUGGCUUUGAAGACUCAUUCUUUCGAUCCAGAUUGCAUAACAUUGACGAGAUUCGUACUUGCCGAACAACGAAAGAUACCAACCGCUAGCGGAGAUCUAAGUCAACUUCUAAACAGCAUACAAACUGCAAUAAAAGGAAUCAGUUCAGCAGUGAAAAAAGCUGGUAUUACAAAUAUGUACGGAAUAUCCGGAAAAAAAAACAUUCACGGAGAAGAAGUAAGAAAAUUAGAUAUAUUGAGCAACGAGUUGUUCAUAAAUAUGUUAACAUCUUCGUACACAACUUGCAUUCUUGUAAGUGAAGAAAAUGCAGAUGUGAUUGAAGUGGAGAUUGAAAAACGUGGAAAAUAUAUAGUAUGCUUCGAUCCUUUGGAUGGAUCCUCUAAUAUUGAUUGUGUAGUAUCAGUUGGUUCAAUAUUCGGGAUUUACAAGAAGCCGAAGGAAUUGAAAGAGCCUUUAAUAGCAAAUGUCCUCCAAUCUGGUAAAAAUUUAAUCGCUGCUGGGUUUGCACUCUAUAGUUCAGCAACUAUAUUAAUACUUUCGGUUGGCCACGGAGUUAAUGGUUUUACUUACGAUUCAGCGAUCGGGGAAUUUAUUUUAACCGACAAAAAUAUACAAAUACCUCCUAGAGGAAAUGUCUAUAGUAUUAACGAAGCACACGAAAAUUCUUGGAAUACAGCUAUCAAAGCGUACAUUCAUUCGAAGAAAUAUCCUAACAAUGGGAAAAUAUAUAAUGCUAGAUAUGUGGGUUCUAUGGUGGCUGAUGUGCACAGAACGUUAAAAUAUGGAGGAAUAUUUCUUUAUCCAGCAGUCAAAAGUUAUCCGCAAGGCAAGCUGCGACUUUUGUAUGAAUGUAUACCAAUGGCCUAUAUAGUGAAACAAGCCGGCGGCUUGGCAUCGAACGGAGAAAUUGAUAUCUUGGACGUAAAACCCAAAAAACUUCAUCAAAGAUCUCCAAUAAUUUUGGGAUCGCAAGAAGAUGUCCAAGAAGUUUUACAAUACAUUAAAAAAUAUAAAGAUAAUAAAUAGUGGAAAGAAGAAGAUAAUAAAACAUGGAAAAAAAUCCUCCAGGAGCAGGUCCUGGAGCUGGAUAAGUUGCUGUUCCUUCGUAUCGUACCAUGGGCCUGUAACCACCAUUGUCGGCGAUAUAAUCGACAAUUUGUGUUCUACCAUCUGGUAAUAAUACGUGAUAAGCUCCAGUUGCUUCGUUAUCUUUUCGUGAUUCGUGAUGGCCAAAAUUUAAUCCAGCUACUGCGUCCUCGACUUCAUAUGAAAAUUCGUAAUUUGCCGGAUCCUGAAAAAAGAGAGAAAAAAAAGAAAGAAGACGUGGAAAAGUAUUUUAUAUUGAUCACAGAUUAAAUUCUAAAGGAGAAAAAACUACUUACACCGACCCACUCGUCAGGGUGACCACCAGUAGCUGGACGUGUUCCUGUAGGUGGAAGAUAGGCAGGUCCUUGAGGUUCGCUCAAAAUUCCUACCGACAUUAUUGUUAACAAAAGUACCUGUGUAAAAAAAAAUCUUUUGCAUUUCUUUCAAUCCAAAAAGAAUGCAUUACUUGUGAGUUGUUUAAAAAAAGGUUUAAAAAAAUUAAAAGAUAUUUCGUCGAAAUGA